UACGUAGGAUGCUAGCGUUGUCCGGAUUUACUGGGCGUAAAGCGCGCGCAGGCGGCACUGUAAGUAAGGUGUGAAAUCUCCCUGCUCAACGGGGAGGGUGCACUUUAGACUGCAGAGCUAGAGGACGGUAGAGGGGGGUGGAAUUGCUGGUGUAGCGGUGAAAUGCGUAGAUAUCAGGAGGAAUACCGAUGGCGAAGGCAGGUCUCUGGGCUGACACUGACGCUCAUGCACGAAAGCGUGGGGAGCAAACAGG
rnacentral:rRNA from 1 species